rnacentral:rRNA from 1 species
AUUGAACGCUGGCGGCAGGCCUAGCACAUGCAAGUCGAGCGGAUGAAGGGAGCUUGCUCCUGGAUUCAGCGGCGGACGGGUGAGUAAUGCCUAGGAAUCUGCCUGGUAGUGGGGGAUAACGUCCGGAAACGGGCGCUAAUACCGCAUGCGUCCUGAGGGAGAAAGUGGGGGAGCUUCGGACCUCACGCUAUCAGAUGAGCCUAGGUCGGAUUAGCUAGUUGGUGGGGUAAAGGCCUACCAAGGCGACGAUCCGUAACUGGUCUGAGAGGAUGAUCAGGCACACUGGAACUGAGACACGGUCCAGACUCCUACGGGAGGCAGCAGUGGGGAAUAUUGGACAAUGGGCGAAAGCCUGAUCCAGCCAUGCCGCGUGUGUGAAGAAGGUCUUCCGAUUGUAAAGCACUUUAAGUUGGGAGGAAGGGCAGUAAGUUAAUACCUUGCUGUUUUGACGUUACCAACAGAAUAAGCACCGGCUAACUUCGUG